GCAACGCUUCCCCAAAAUCACAAACUAUUUCUCACCAAGAGCGAGAACCCUGGCCGAAUUUUCGCGGGUGGCUCCAGUACAGCUGCUGGUGACCCAUCUUGCUCUCAGCAGUGCAACGAGGUAAAAGGAAGAAGCUGGCCCACGCAUGCGCUCUUCAAAUUUUUGAGACAGUUUACCCAGAAUGCAGUGCUCAAAGGAAACGCGUGCGCAGUGUGGUCAGGUUGUUUCGCUGGGUGAGUAAAAUGAAAUCUUAGAGGCGUUGUGGGCUGGCCCAGUUGAUGACGUCACCAUACCACAGCUUCUAGUGCUAUUCUGCGCCGGUAUCCGACCGCCGGGCGCGGUGGCGCGUGCCUGUAGUCCCAGCUACUCGGGAGGCUGAGGCUGGAGGAUCGCUUGAGUCCAGGAGUUCUGGGCUGUAGUGCGCUAUGCCGAUCGGGUGUCCGCACUAAGUUCGGCAUCAAUAUGGUGACCUCCCGGGAGCGGGGGACCACCAGGUUGCCUAAGGAGGGGUGAACCGGCCCAGGUCGGAAACGGAGCAGGUCAAAACUCCCGUGCUGAUCAGUAGUGGGAUCGCGCCUGUGAAUAGCCACUGCACUCCAGCCUGGGCAACAUAGCGAGACCCCGUCUCUUUUGAACAAUAAAUACGUUAAUUUUGGACUCUCAAGAGAUGAAUAUUCUCAUAGUCUUUUUUAUUGAUUAAACCUUUUACUUUCUUUUAAUUAAAACGUUACACUUGGGAAAGGAGUUUUUCCUCGACUCACCAGUGACACCUACUGGAAUAAAUUUACAAAACAACUUAAAAUCAGCUGUAAUGAUCACGAGUCAACGGAUUAUCUCCAAGACUUCAACAUACAACGUUUGUGCACCAACAACAUAUGUACAGCUAAGGAAAAUAUUCUGUAUUAAAUCAUGGGUGUGCUCAUGAAGUACGAAAGGAGCCAAGAAGAGAAAUUAAUUCCAGUUCGAGGUACAUUUGAGAGACCUUUGAGGUAGACCUUGAAGAAUGGGAUUUCUACAGGCAGCACUUGACAGAAGGGAAUGCCUGGUGAAAGGAAGCGCUUGAGCCAAGGUAAGGUGAACAACUUUGUGUAACUAGAAUAGAAGAUGGACAAAAGGCCUAGUGAUAGGAAUGAAAAGGUAUUUUAUUUUAAAGCCUCAUUGGGCAAGAUCCAAUGUCAAGCUUUUACAACUUUCCUAUAAUUUAUAUCAGUCACUAAUGUGUGGUUUCCAAAAGCCAUUUGCCUCUCAAAAGCUAAUCUAACAUUUGUCCACACUUUCUUAGGCCUCUUCUAGUUGGUCUCCACAAUAUUUAAAACAUUACAGUGGUUCUGAGAUCAAUUCCAUUAAUAUUUUUAGUACUCUGAUAUAUAAGCCUUUGGGCCUAAAGAAGUGAAUUCAUUUAGGAGAGAAAAAAAGACAAAUGAGAAGCAAUUAGUUGCACUUCAACAAUCUUAAUCUGAAUACUUAAGUAAUUCUUAAUACUUAUUCUAGUCUAUACAUUAUUCUCUUUGAUAGAGAUAUUGCAAAAGUGCAGCUAAGACGUCGUACUUCCUUUCAGUUUUAAGAUAAUGUGACACCAUCUAUCCCAAACCAUGAAAUUAUCCAUUUCUUUUUCAACAAACUGAGAACACAGCUUUAAAAGUUCAUUUUAACUCGGUGUUUAUCAAGAGCUUUUAUGUUUUGUUUUGUUUUUUUUCCUUUUUUUUUGAGACGGAGUCUCACUCUGUCGCCCAGGCUGGAGUGCAAUGGCACCAUCUUGGCUAACUGCAACCUGCACCUCCUGGGUUCAAGGGAUUCUCCUGCCUCAGCCUCCCGAGUUGCUGAAAUUACAGGCACGUGCCACCACACCCGUCUAAUUUUUUACAUUUUUGGUAGAGAUGGGGUUUCACCAUGUUGGCUAGGCUGGUCUCGAAGUCCUGACCUCGAGUAAUCCACCCACCUCAGCCUCCCAAACUGCUGGGAUUACAGGAGUGAGCCACCACGC
rnacentral:lncRNA from 10 species